rnacentral:rRNA from 1 species
CCUACGGGAGGCCGCAGUGAGGAAUAUUGGUCAAUGGACGAGAGUCUGAACCCGCCAAGUAGCGUGAAGGAUGACUGCCCUAUGGGUUGUAAACUUCUUUUAUAUGGGAAUAAAACGUUCCACGUGUGGGAUUUUGUAUGUACCAUAUGAAUAAGGAUCGGCUAACUCCGUGCCAGCAGCCGCGGUAAUACGGAGGAUCCGAGCGUUAUCCGGAUUUAUUGGGUUUAAAGGGAGCGUAGGUGGAUUGUUAAGUCAGUUGUGAAAGUUUGCGGCUCAACCGUAAAAUUGCAGUUGAAACUGGCAGUCUUGAGUACAGUAGAGGUGGGCGGAAUGCGUGGUGUAGCGGUGAAAUGCUUAGAUAUCACGAAGAACUCCGAUUGCGAAGGCAGUUCACUGGACUGCAACUGACACUGAGGCUCGAAAGUGUGGGUAUCAAACAGGAUUAGAUACCCUGGUAGUC